UACGAAGGGGGCUAGCGUUGCUCGGAAUGACUGGGCGUAAAGGGCGCGUAGGCGGAUGGCACAGUCAGAUGUGAAAUUCCCGGGCUUAACCUGGGGGCUGCAUUUGAUACGUGUUGUCUUGAGUUCGGAAGAGGGUCGUGGAAUUCCCAGUGUAGAGGUGAAAUUCGUAGAUAUUGGGAAGAACACCGAUGGCGAAGGGCAGCCAUCUGGAGCCCGUACACUGACGCUGAGGCGCGAAAAGCGUGGGGAGCAAACAGG
rnacentral:rRNA from 1 species